rnacentral:rRNA from 1 species
CACGUAGUUAGCCGAUGCUUCUUCUGCAGGUACCGUCAUUUGUUUCGUCCCUGCUGAAAGGAGUUUACAUACCUAAAUACUUCAUCCUCCACGCGGCGUCGCUCCGUCAGGCUUUCGCCCAUUGCGGAAAAUUCCCCACUGCUGCCUUCCGUAGAAGUCUGGGCCGUGUCUCAGUCCCAGUGUGGCUGAUCGUCCUCUCAGACCAGCUAUUGAUCGUCGCCUUGGUAAGCCUUUACCUCACCAACUAGCUAAUCAACCAUAGACUCCUCUAAAAGCGAAUUAAUCCUUUCUUGAUUAGCUUCCCAACUAACCACAUUAUGCGGUAUUAGCCAAACUUUCGCCUGGUUGUCCCCCACUUAAAGGCAGAUUAUCUAUGUAUUACUCACCCGUCCGCCACUAACUCCGAAGAGUCCGUUCGACUUGCAUGUGUUAAGCACGCCGCCAGCGUUCGUUCUGAGCACGGAUCAACUAC